UACGGGGGGGGCAAGCGUUGUUCGGAAUUACUGGGCGUAAAGGGCUCGUAGGCGGCCAACUAAGUCAGACGUGAAAUCCCUCGGCUUAACCGGGGAACUGCGUCUGAUACUGGAUGGCUUGAGUUUGGGAGAGGGAUGCGGAAUUCCAGGUGUAGCGGUGAAAUGCGUAGAUAUCAAGCGGAACACCGGCGGCGAAGGCGGCCUUCUGGACAGUGACUGACGCUGAGAUGCGAAAGCGUGGGGAGCAAACAGG
rnacentral:rRNA from 1 species